rnacentral:rRNA from 1 species
GACGAACGCUGGCGGCACGCCUAACACAUGCAAGUCGAACGGACUUAAAAGAGCUUGCUUUUUUAAGUUAGUGGCGGACGGGUGAGUAACACGUGAGCAACCUGCCUCUGAGAGGGGGAUAGCUUCUGGAAACGGAUGGUAAUACCCCAUAAAAUAUAAAUAUCGCAUGAUAGAUAUAUCAAAGAAAUUCGCUCAGAGAUGGGCUCGCGUCUGAUUAGAUAGUUGGUGGGGUAACGGCUCACCAAGUCGACGAUCAGUAGCCGGACUGAGAGGUUGAACGGCCACAUUGGGACUGAGACACGGCCCAGACUCCUACGGGAGGCAGCAGUGGGGAAUAUUGCACAAUGGAGGGAACUCUGAUGCAGCGAUGCCGCGUGGAGGAAGAAGGUUUUCGGAUUGUAAACUCCUUUUAUCAGGGACGAUAAUGACGGUACCUGAAGAAAAAGCACCGGCUAACUACGUG